UACGAAGGGGGCUAGCGUUGUUCGGAAUUACUGGGCGUAAAGCGUAUGCAGGCGGACUUUUAAGUCGGGGGUGAAAUCCCGAGGCUCAACCUCGGAACUGCCUUCGAUACUGGAAGUCUUGAGUCCGGGAGAGGUGAGUGGAACUCCGAGUGUAGAGGUGAAAUUCGUAGAUAUUCGGUGGAACACCAGUGGCGAAGGCGACUCGCUGGACUGAUACUGACGCUGAGGUGCGAAAGCGUGGGGAGCAAACAGG
rnacentral:rRNA from 1 species